rnacentral:rRNA from 1 species
UUGCUCAGAUUGAACGCUGGCGGCAGGCUUAACACAUGCAAGUCGAGCGGGGGAAGGUAGCUUGCUACCGGACCUAGCGGCGGACGGGUGAGUAAUGCUUAGGAAUCUGCCUAUUAGUGGGGGACAACAUCUCGAAAGGGAUGCUAAUACCGCAUACGUCCUACGGGAGAAAGCAGGGGAUCUUCGGACCUUGCGCUAAUAGAUGAGCCUAAGUCGGAUUAGCUAGUUGGUGGGGUAAAGGCCUACCAAGGCGACGAUCUGUAGCGGGUCUGAGAGGAUGAUCCGCCACACUGGGACUGAGACACGGCCCAGACUCCUACGGGAGGCAGCAGUGGGGAAUAUUGGACAAUGGGGGGAACCCUGAUCCAGCCAUGCCGCGUGUGUGAAGAAGGCCUUAUGGUUGUAAAGCACUUUAAGCGAGGAGGAGGCUACUUUAGUUAAUACCUAGAGAUAGUGGACGUUACUCGCAGAAUAAGCACCGGCUAACUCUGUGCCAGCAGCCGCGGUAAUACAGAGGGUGCGAGCGUUAAUCGGAUUUACUGGGCGUAAAGCGUGCGUAGGCGGCUUAUUAAGUCGGAUGUGAAAUCCCCGAGCUUAACUUGGGAAUUGCAUUCGAUACUGGUGAGCUAGAGUAUGGGAGAGGAUGGUAGAAUUCCAGGUGUAGCGGUGAAAUGCGUAGAGAUCUGGAGGAAUACCGAUGGCGAAGGCAGCCAUCUGGCCUAAUACUGACGCUGAGGUACGAAAGCAUGGGGAGCAAACAGGAUUAGAUACCCUGGUAGUCCAUGCCGUAAACGAUGUCUACUAGCCGUUGGGGCCUUUGAGGCUUUAGUGGCGCAGCUAACGCGAUAAGUAGACCGC